rnacentral:rRNA from 1 species
GAUGAACGCUAGCGGCAGGCUUAACACAUGCAAGUCGAGGGGGUAUAGUUCUUCGGAACUAGAGACCGGCGCACGGGUGCGUAACGCGUAUGCAAUCUACCUUUUGCAGAGGGAUAGCCCAGAGAAAUUUGGAUUAAUACCUCAUAGUAUGUGAGAAUGGCAUCAUUUUCACAUUAAAGUCACAACGGGCAAAAGAUGAGCAUGCGUCCCAUUAGCUAGUUGGUAAGGUAACGGCUUACCAAGGCAACGAUGGGUAGGGGUCCUGAGAGGGAGAUCCCCCACACUGGUACUGAGACACGGUCCAGACUCCUACGGGAGGCAGCAGUGGGGAAUUUUGGACAAUGGGCGCAAGCCUGAUCCAGCCAUGCCGCGUGCAGGAUGAAGGCCCUCUGGGUUGUAAACUGCUUUCUACGGGAAUAAACCCCUUUACGUGUAAAGGGCUGAAGGUACCGUAGGAAUAAGCACCGGCUAACUCCGUGCCAGCAGCCGCGGUAAUACGAGACG